rnacentral:rRNA from 1 species
UACGUAGGGUGCAAGCGUUGUCCGGAAUUAUUGGGCGUAAAGAGCUCGUAGGCGGCUUGUCACGUCGGCUGUGAAAACCCGGGGCUCAACCCCGGGCCUGCAGUCGAUACGGGCAAGCUAGAGUUCGGCAGGGGAGACUGGAAUUCCUGGUGUAGCGGUGAAAUGCGCAGAUAUCAGGAAGAACACCCGUGGCGAAAGCGGCUCUCUGGAACGGUACUGACGCUGAGACGCGAAAGCGUGGGGAGCGAACAGG